CUCCCAGGGCUCAGUGCUGGGGCCGGUCCUCUUUAAUAUCUUUAUCGAUGACCUGGAUGAGGGGAUCGAGUGCACCCUCAGUAAGUUUGCAGAUGACACCAAGUUAGGUGCGUGUGUCGAUCUGCUCGAGGGUAGGAAGGCUCUGCAGGAGGAUCUGGAUAGGCUGGAGCGAUGGGCUGAGGCCAACUGCAUGAAGUUCAACAAGGCCAAGUGCCGGGUCCUGCAUCUGGGGCGUAACAACCCCAAGCAGCGCUACAGGCUGGGAGAUGAGUGGUUGCAAAGCUGCCUGGCAGAGAAGGAUCUGGGAGUACUGGUUGAUAGUCGGCUGAAUAUGAGCCAGCAGUGUGCCCAGGUGGCCAAGAAGGCCAACAGCAUCCUGGCCUGCAUAAGAAGCAGUGUGGCCAGCAGGUCUAGGGAAGUGAUUGUCCCCCUGUACUCGGCUCUGGUGAGGCCGCACCUCGAGUACUGUGUUCAAUUUUGGGCCCCUCGCUACAAGAAGGACAUGGAGGUGCUUGAGAGAGUCCAGAGAAGGGUGACAAAGCUGGUGAGGGGUCUGGAGAACAAGUUUUACCAGGAGUGGCUGAGGGAGCUGGGCUUGUUCAGCCUGGAGAAGAGGAGGCUCAGGGGCAACCUUAUCGCUCUCUAUAGGGACCUUAAAGGAGGCUGUAGAGAGGUGGGGGUUGGUCUCUCCUAUGUGCCUGGUGACAGGACGAGGGGGAAUGGGCUAAAGUUGCGCCAGGGGAGGUUUAUGUUGGAUGUUAGGAAGAACUUCUUUACUGAAAGUGUUGUUAGGCAUUGGAAUGGGCUGCCCAGGGAAGUGGUUGAGUCGCCAUCCCUGGAGGUCUUAGACGUUUAGAUGUAGCCCUUAGUGAUAUGGUUUAGUGUAGGACUUGUUAGUGUUAGGACAGAGGUUGGACUAGAUGAUCUUAGAGGUCUCUUCCAACCUAGACGAUUCUGUGAUUCUGUGAUAUGAAAAUGGCCUGAGCACAAAGUCCUGAACACUAC
rnacentral:lncRNA from 1 species